AUUCGACAACAUAAUCGGCACCGACUCGAAAAAAUAACCCUAACCUCUCUGACGCGCUUGGUAUAAAAGGCAACAAGGGGCGGCUAAAGAUAAGGUCAACGCGUUAAACGAAGAAGCGUAUUGUGUCCAUAUUCUCUGAUUCUCUUUGCGUUUGGUUUACAUCUCGCUUUGCUUUCUGGUAAGAUCUUCGAUUACCUCUGAUUUGUCGAGGUCAGGUCAGAUCCUCCAAAAGAAGCACAAAAAUUUCAAGUUCUAGGGUUUUUGAUUGUUGUUCGUCUGUUUUAUCUGAUAUUUUUGUUUUGUUUUACGCUGAGUAGUUGCCAUAUGUGAAAAUCUACUGUGUAAUCGUUGGUUUUCUCGUUUUUAUUGUUUGGAUUUGUAAGCUUUGUCCGUAUAGUUACGGUUUGUACCUUAUAGGAAACCCUAAAGAAAAAAAAGAAAAGCUAUUUGAAUUAUUUGUUUUUGCUGUCUGAUUGGGGAUUUUGUUUGGUAUAUAGUUUUCGUUUUGAAUUUUUUUAUUGAGAAGAGUUGUGUGGCUCUUGGUUGGCAUGGCGGCAGGGCGAGUCGAUGUUCCCAGGAGAAGUGAUGUUCCGAGGAGAAGUGAUGUUGGGAAAUUGAAUCGGGGUCAUGGUUAUGCUAUUCUCGAUACGAAUGCAUACAAUUACCCAUCUAAUGGGAAGAAUUUGGUUGCCCAGCAUAAGAAUGGGUUCAACUUGGGUCCUAGGCGAUGUGGGUUAGAGGAUGUUGCCAAAGUUAAGAAUGAUGUAAUGCGAAUGUUGGAUGAUGGGGAUCAGCAGCCCCCUCAGAAAAGGAGGAAGUUUUCCCCUAUCGUAUGGGACAUAGAAGAGAAGGAAGUAAGAAUUUCGUCCGCGAAAAGAGUUGUUUCGAUGGCUUCCAUUCUGUCAUCUACUCCUUCACCUUGUAAGUUGUCAAAUAGUGUUUCCAUUUGGGUUGUUGAGAAGCAACUGGUCUCUGCAAACCCAAUGGAAGAAGUGGAUCAUUUACUUCCCAAGCCUCUGGUGUCAGAUUUUUCUGCUGUUUUAUCUCAGUCUCCAUCUUGCCAGCAAUGUCAAGAUGGUGAAGAAGAACAAGAUUUUAUCGGAAAAGAAAAUAUUCAAGCACCUAAUAUAUUUACAUCUCGUUGGGCAUCUGAUAGUGAUGAUGAAGAUGUGUCUGGAAGUGAGGAAAAGACUAGGAGUUCGAGUCUUGAGAGUGGAGAGUUGGAAAGAGAGGAAUUGGAAGGAGAGCAGAUGCUGUCUAAUGAAAGAAGUAGCAGUGUACUGACUGCUUGCGAGGAUGAUGAUAUGGAAUCUAAGUCGGAUUCUGAUGGUGUGAUGGGUAUUGGUGAUAUGCAUGAUGGAAAUGCUGUUGUUGAGCAGUCAGAUUUAGAUGCUGAAGAGCCAGCAGGAAGAAGUAUGGACAUGCUUCUAGGUUGCAGAAGUGUCUUUGAAUAUGAAAAAUUGAACAAAAUAAGUGAAGGUACUUAUGGUAUUGUUUACAGAGCCAAGGAUAAGAAGACGGGAGAAAUUGUGGCCCUGAAGAAGGUAAAGAUUCUUGACCGAAGAGAUUCAGAAGAAUAUGGUUUCCCUUUGACAUCACUGAGGGAAAUUAACAUUCUUGCAUCUUUCCAUAACCCUUCAAUUGUGGAAGUUAAAGAAGUUGUUGUAGAUGACCAUGACAAUGUUUACAUGGUUAUGGAGUACAUGGAACAUGACUUCAAGGGGCUAAUGGAGUCAAUGAAACGACCAUUUAGUACAAGUGAUGUUAAAUGCUUGAUGCUACAGCUAUUGGAGGGUGUCAAAUAUCUCCAUGAUAAUUGGGUGCUCCAUAGGGAUUUGAAGACGUCCAAUCUUCUCUUGAACAACCAAGGUGAACUGAAAAUAUGUGACUUUGGUAUGGCACGCCAGUAUGGAAGCCCUUUAAAGCCAUAUACAACUAAGGUGGUUACUCAGUGGUAUAGAGCACCUGAACUUUUACUUGGAGCAAAAAAGUAUUCUACAGCAGUUGACAUGUGGUCUGUGGGUUGUAUAAUGGCCGAGUUGUUAUCUAAGGAACCCUUGUUCAAAGGGACAAGCGAAAUUGAUCAGCUUCGCAAGAUCUUUGAUACUCUUGGUACUCCAAGCGAGAAGAUUUGGGCUGGGUUUUCUGAAUUACCAGGGGCCAAGGCAAAUUAUUCUAAGCAACCGUAUAAUUUGUUGCGAAGGAAGUUUCCUGCAGCAUCUUUCACAGGAUCUGCAGUUCUUUCUGAUGCUGGAUUUGACCUGUUAAACAGGCUUCUUACAUAUGAUCCUGAGAAGAGAAUAUCAGCAAAUGAUGCUCUUAAUCAUGAUUGGUUCUGCGAGAUUCCUCUACCAAAAUCUAAAGAAUUCUUGCCUACUUUCCCCCCUAAAAUGUGAAUGAAACAGGUACCUGGAGCUCCUGGCCUGCUUGGUGAACAACCAAAAAAAACAUAUUUGGGCUGCUUUUUAGUUUGCAGUCAUAGCAGUUUCUUAAUUUUGUUUGAAUGACUCCUAGGCUUAUACACGAAGAAUGAAUCUAAUGCAGCAGCGAUAAAAUUUUUUCUAUCUAUUGGUUUGUGUUAUGGGACAGGCAGAUUGGUGCAUACAGCUGCAAUGUUAUUUUCAUGAUAAUUGUAUCUUAGGCAGAUGAUUGACAAGAGGUGAGGUGCAGCAAUUUUAUGUUCUGGUGGCAAAAUAUUGUGAGAAACUGAUAUAGUCAUUUGGCAGGCACAUAAAUGACGUUCUUGUAGAGAUUAAAUUAUUCGAGGGGGUUGAAUUACAGCCUUACACUCCCAGUCAUUAGUUUGGAUGAUUUUGUGAUGAAUUGUAAUGGUCGUUAGCUGCGGUUGAAUUUGAAGGUGCAGCGUAUUGACCUUAUCUUAAAAUCUUUUCUUGUUCAUCUCCUUGAUAUUGUAUCAGAUUGUAACUCGUGUAAAUAUUCUUAACCACAUUUGCUCUAAAAAUAUUGCUCACAUUAUUUCCUUCAAUUUUUUCACAUUGCUUGCAAGAAUCUACUGAUGUUUGGAAGCAAACAGCACUGGUCUUCCUGCUCAUGGGCAGUAAGUUUUGCACGCUCAAGGUGCUUUGGAAAUGAAUUAGUUGAUCUUUUAACUUGUGAGAUUUUUGUUUCUUUGUUUUCUUCUUUUGUUUUAAGCGUUGCAGCCGUGUGGGAGGUUUGCUGCCUGCACGUGUUUACAUAAUCACUUGCUGUGCAAAUGUUACUGCAGUUGAAACGAUAACAGAACCAGUAGCGUGGGAGGCUUGUUCUCUUUCCUUUCUCUUUCCCGUUAUCCUUUCUUUAAUUCAUUUAUGUUUUCGUUGUCAUGAAUGAACUCUUACAGUUUUUACUUCCUCGAGUGUCUGCAAGAUACCUUAUAAUUGAAAAAGAACAGUUACGGGCGGAUGUCAUCAUACCAAACUU